rnacentral:lncRNA from 1 species
GAAUCUUUGGCCAUCUGUGAAACAAUUUCCAUGGGAAAAUGACUUGUUUGGACUGUAUUUUCACAAAGCUGAUAUUUCUGGCCCUUAGAAUAUGAUACCUGUUUGUCUAAAAAACAUAUAUCUAUUCAGAGAUAGGACAAAAUUCCUUUUCACUGCAGUAUUGGGAGCCUGGAACUAGGGUUACCACCCCUCUGCGUUAAAGAAGGAGCUGUCCUGAGGCUUCCAUCUCUACUGGGCUUGAGGCAAGAACAUUGUUAGAGACGGCCUGCUCUUGGCCUCUGUGCCCCAGGGAUUGCAAAUGCAU